AUCGUAGUUAAUAGCUGCGGUAUUUGACGUUAGCUGCAGAAGAAGCACCGGCGUAACUCCGUGCCAGCAGCCGCGGUAAUACGGAGGGUGCGAGCGUUAAUCGGAAUUACUGGGCGUAAAGCGCAUGCAGGUGGUUUGUUUAAGUUCAGAUGUGAAAGACCCGGGGCGUCAACCUCGGAAUUGCAUUUGAAACUAGGCAGACUAGAGUACUGUAGAGGGGGGUAGGGAAGUUUACUAGGUGUAGCGGUGAAAUAGCGUAGAGAUCUGAAGGAAUAACCGGUGGCGAAGGCGGCCCCCUCGGACAGAUACUGACACUCAGAUGCGAAAGCGUGGGGAGCAAACAGGAUUAGAUACCCUGGUAG
rnacentral:rRNA from 1 species